AGAGUUUGAUCUCGGCUCAGAUUGAACGCUGGCGGCAGGCCUAACACAUGCAAGUCGAGCGGAUGACGGGAGCUUGCUCCUUGAUUCAGCGGCGGACGGGUGAGUAAUGCCUAGGAAUCUGCCUGGUAGUGGGGGACAACGUUUCGAAAGGAACGCUAAUACCGCAUACGUCCUACGGGAGAAAGCAGGGGACCUUCGGGCCUUGCGCUAUCAGAUGAGCCUAGGUCGGAUUAGCUAGUUGGUGGGGUAAUGGCUCACCAAGGCGACGAUCCGUAACUGGUCUGAGAGGAUGAUCAGUCACACUGGAACUGAGACACGGUCCAGACUCCUACGGGAGGCAGCAGUGGGGAAUAUUGGACAAUGGGCGAAAGCCUGAUCCAGCCAUGCCGCGUGUGUGAAGAAGGUCUUCGGAUUGUAAAGCACUUUAAGUUGGGAGGAAGGGCAGUAAGCUAAUACCUUGCUGUUUUGACGUUACCGACAGAAUAAGCACCGGCUAACUCUGUGCCAGCAGCCGCGGU
rnacentral:rRNA from 1 species